CCCUUAGAUGUUCUGGGCCGCACGCGUGCUACACUGAGUGGAUCAGCGGGUCAGGUUGCGCGAAAGUAUUUCCUAAUCUUUAAAUCCGCUCGUGAUGGGGAUUGACGGUUGCAAUUUUCCGUCAUGAACGAGGAAUACCUUGUAAGCGCGGGUCAUCAUCCCGCGCUGAAUACGUCCCUGCCCUUUGUACACACCGCCCGUCGCUCCUACCGAUUGAGUGGUCCGGUGAGGCUUUGGGAUCUGAGCGGAAAGAGCGUUUCGCUGUUUCUGCCCGGAAAACUCAGUCGAACCUUAUCAUUUAGAGGAAGGAGAAGUCGUAACA
rnacentral:rRNA from 1 species